rnacentral:lncRNA from 1 species
CCGGGUUCCGCUUUGGUGUCGGGUGGUAGGUGGACGCUUUGCUUCGGGUCGCGGGCGCUUCUCAUCCCCUCUAACUUCACAUCCAGUCUGGACGUUCGUUCCCUUUCUUCCAGUGCAUGGGGAGUGGCCCUCAAGGGCAGCUGAAGGAACGGAAUGCCUGGCACACUCCUGGCCUGGAAAGGAAGAAUGGGGGGAUGGGGACCGUUGCUUUCCCUUCCUCCUUCCAGACCGGCUUCAGUUUCCUUCCAGGCCUUUUCCAUAAUAAACGCUGGGAAACUGGGGUCUGCCCUAGGAAAGAAACUGCCUUUCUGUUUAUAGGUUCGGAUCGUCUUUUGUCCCUUUCAGGGAACUGGUGUGUUGGGGACGGCCUCUCCGCCCUGCCUGACACGGUCCAGCCAUCCUGUCAGCCUUCUGGACGGCAACACCAAAGCCAGGACCAAAAAAAAAAAGUUUCCGAUUCAGUGCUACCGCCAAGUGUUCGAUCUUAUUUGUUUUAAAUCAGAGAUUAAUUGACGGCAAGCAGAUCUCUUAGAAGGCUCAGUUGCUGGAAACCUGUUCAAUUUCCAGUGACUAGAUCAAUUCUGUAUCUGAAGUUGGUCUUCUUAGAAUUGCUGCCAAAAUAGUGAAAGCUUUUUUUUUUUUUUUCCCUUCUGUAAUAUGUUUUUUCAAAGAGGAAUCCGGCUUAGGCUGUCCUUUUUUGUUGUUGUUUGUUUUUGUUCUCCUGUCUUUGACAUACAUGCAUUCCAUUUCAGACCUAUCACUGUGUGAUAUACCAAAGGCCAUGUGUUGCCUGCCACUCUGACUUCCAGAAUACUCAGGAAUCUGGAUCCUGUAGGAGGGGAAGUGGGGAGAAUAAAGGGGAUCAUUCUCAGAAGAGAUAGUAACGGGUCUCAGGGGCAUAUGGAGAAAGAGGUCACCCCAGAAAAAGAGACUGUUUUUAUACUAGUGUGUGCACAUAUGUGUACACACAUGUAAAUCUCUGAAGGGAAUUAAAUGCAUCUUCAGACUCUCCCCCUGGGGUGUUUGUUUCUGAGGAGAAACAGGUUUGAAAAUAGAAUCUAGUAAAUGGCUUACAACACAAUUGCUCCCCCAUCCAGCCAUGUGUACUAAACUGUUGCUGGUUCUAUAGUUGAAACUCAAGAAACUUGUCCCUUCUCUAGCCUUCCCCCCAUAACAACUAUUCCUUCCUUCAGUCACAACUCAGGUGCUUCAAAGAUAGAGGUAUCAAGUGUCACAUAGCACCCACACUCUUGGAAGUUUUGGUACCAUCCCCCAGCCUGUCCCAACUUCACCUUGUUGGUCUAAGAAAACUUGACAUCCUUUUCAGGUAUUCGACCCAAGGUGUGGGACAAUAACCUGUUGCUGGCGUCCCAUGAAGCCAUUCCAAUCUCCUCACAAUUCUCUUUUCUUGGCCUUAUAGGGACAAAGUUGGGAGGUGGGGGGUUAGG